CCUGGCUCAGAACGAACGCUGGCGGCAUGCCUAACACAUGCAAGUCGAACGAGACCUUCGGGUCUAGUGGCGCACGGGUGCGUAACGCGUGGGAACCUGCCUUUAGGUUCGGAAUAACAGUGAGAAAUUACUGCUAAUACCGGAUAAUGUCUUCGGACCAAAGAUUUAUCGCCUUUAGAUGGGCCCGCGUUGGAUUAGCUAGUUGGUGGGGUAAAGGCCUACCAAGGCGACGAUCCAUAGCUGGUCUGAGAGGAUGAUCAGCCACACUGGGACUGAGACACGGCCCAGACUCCUACGGGAGGCAGCAGUGGGGAAUAUUGGACAAUGGGCGAAAGCCUGAUCCAGCAAUGCCGCGUGAGUGAUGAAGGCCUUAGGGUUGUAAAGCUCUUUUACUGGGGAUGAUAAUGACAGUACCCAGAGAAUAA
rnacentral:rRNA from 1 species